GACGAACGCUGGCGGCGUGCCUAAUACAUGCAAGUAGAACGCUGAAGAGAGGAGCUUGCUCUUCUUGGAUGAGUUGCGAACGGGUGAGUAACGCGUAGGUAACCUGCCUGGUAGCGGGGGAUAACUAUUGGAAACGAUAGCUAAUACCGCAUGAAAUGGAUUAUCGCAUGAUAAUUCAUUGAAAGGUGCAAAUGCAUCACUACCAGAUGGACCUGCGUUGUAUUAGCUAGUUGGUGGGGUAACGGCUCACCAAGGCGACGAUACAUAGCCGACCUGAGAGGGUGAUCGGCCACACUGGGACUGAGACACGGCCCAGACUCCUACGGGAGGCAGCAGUAGGGAAUCUUCGGCAAUGGACGGAAGUCUGACCGAGCAACGCCGCGUGAGUGAAGAAGGUUUACGGAUCGUAAAGCUCUGUUGUAAGAGAAGAACGAGUGUGAGAGUGGAAAGUUCACACUGUGACGGUAUCUUACCAGAAAGGCGGCUAA
rnacentral:rRNA from 1 species